CAAACCUGUGUCAAGCGUCCGGUUUAUUUUCUCGCUUUUAUUUUCCUUUUUUGAGAUGGGAUUUCAUCGACGUUUGGCAGUAAAGCCUGAGGAACUCAUCAUCAUGGACGACGAGGACUCUGCUUUUUCUUCCACACAUUCGCCGGGUAAGAUUGCUAUCGACGAGGCAAUCGCUAUUGUCCGAAGGCGGAACUGCUUCAGCAGCAACAAAAAUUAUGGCGAAUGAUCUACUUCCAGGACCCUCGAAAUUGUGCGGCAAUUCGGAAUCUACACCCACAUUUAACUCAAAUACUCGCCCAAAGAAAGGAUAUUUGAAACAGUGAAAGCGGUAUCGUUGGUGGCCCGGCAGUCAGAGGAAUAGUUUGUAGUGCUGAUGUAGGAGGUGCCAGUAAAUUGAGAGACAAUCCGCUUUAUUUAGUUGCCACAGUGAUGUUAUUUUAUUAUUUAGUGGGCCCUCCUUAGCCGUGCGGUAAGACGCGCGGCUACAAAACAAGACCAUGCUGAGGGUGG